rnacentral:rRNA from 1 species
UACAGGGGGCUCGAGCGUUAUUCGGAAUCACUGGGCUUAAAGGGUGCGUAGGCGGCUCGCCAAGUGCUUUGUGAAAUCCCACAGCUCAACUGUGGAACAGCAGGGCAAACUGGCGAGCUUGAGGCAGGUAGGGGCCGGAAGAACAGUAGGUGGAGCGGUGAAAUGCGUAGAUAUCUACUGGAAUGCCGAUGGGGAAGCCGUCCGGCUGGGCCUGUCCUGACGCUGAGGCACGAAAGCGUGGGGAGCAAACAGG